rnacentral:lncRNA from 1 species
UUCUAUAAGCUUCUGCUCACAUAACCCUAAAAUUAUACAAGGGAAAGGUGGCACGUACACUCUUCUAAAAUUGCACGCGUGGCGCAGCGGGCCAAGUAGGAAAGCUAGACAAACAAGGGCAUCAAACUUGAGGCAAAUACAAAAUUCUUGAGUAGUUGGUCACUUCCGCAACUCAACUGAACCCUGGCUUUUUCCGGUAGAGUGAGACAACAAGAAGGGAGUUUUUCCACCUUUAUUACCGGAAUAAUUAUCUGAAUCUUCAUCAAGAGGCAUACCCUGCAACACUGAACACUUAAGUGCUUGCUUCUGAUUAAGCACAAUACAUCAAUAAACAAUGAGCAAGAAAACAUGGCCGAGAAAAACGAUUGAGAAAUACAUGUGCAUUAGUCCAAAAAUCAAAAUGAAAACCUUGAGGGGCGUAGCUCAACUGGUCAAACACUAGGUGCAAACCUUAGAGAUCAUCAAUUCAAGUCCCCAUAAAUCUCAGGGCCACUGGAGGCUUACAUGGUCGUUAACUUCAGGGCUUGUGGGAUUGGUUGAGGUGCACGCAAGUUGGUCCGAACACCCACGUUAAUCAAAAUAUACACACACACACACAUACGCGCGCGCGCACACACACACAGUUGAUCAAAUUAGAACAUAACUAUAUAAAAAAUAAGCCCAGAUCAAAAUGAAACUUUGCAUUCUAAUACCAGAAUAGGCAGCUAGUCAAAGGGAAAGAAUUUUUAGUACAAAAAAAUAUAAAAAAAACACAGUUUUAUCCUCUUUAUAGGUGGGAAAUAAUGUUUUCCUUCGGUAAGAAAUGUGAUUCUUUCACAUAAAACAUGCUCUUAUUUCAAAUAUCAAGUCAUAGAGAAAUAAUAACCGAGCAAUCAAAUUAGUAGUCAAAAGCAAAAUAGUAAAACAGUAAAGGCACUGCUGAAAAACCUUGUCAUGCUCAUCCUGGAAACCAAAAACCAAAAAAAUAACACAAAUGUACCAAUCAAUGUCUCUUUCAAUUAUUUCUUAAUAAGGUCAUUUCAUCCUCUUGCUACAGUUUUUAGAAUUGCCUCUCUAACAUUUCAAAGAAAGCUA